rnacentral:ncRNA from 20 species
GAAUAUCAGGCGGAAUAGGGUUGCUUAAAUGCAUUAAUAGGGAACUCCGGUGUGAAGCCGGGACAGCCCCGCUACUGUAAGAAGGACGAGUCCCUUAGAGGAUCCACUGGUGAAAACCGGGAAGGUAAGGGAUGAGGAUGAGUUCAAGUCAGGAUACCUGCCCCAUUCCGGAAACACAAG